GACGAACGCUGGCGGCGUGCCUAAUACAUGCAAGUUGAGCGCUGAAGGUUGGUACUUGUACCAACUGGAUGAGCAGCGAACGGGUGAGUAACGCGUGGGGAAUCUGCCUUUGAGCGGGGAACAACAUUUGGAAACGAAUGCUAAUACCGCAUAAAAACUUUAAACACAAGUUUUAAGUUUGAAAGAUGCAAUUGCAUCACUCAAAGAUGAUCCCGCGUUGUAUUAGCUAGUUGGUGAGGUAAAGGCUCACCAAGGCGAUGAUACAUAGCCGACCCGAGAGGGUGAUCGGCCACAUUGGGACUGAGACACGGCCCAAACUCCUACGGGAGGCAGCAGUAGGGGAAUCUUCGGCAAUGGACGAAAAGUCUGACCCGAGCAAACGCCGCGUGAGUGAAAGAAAGGUUUUUCGGAUUCGUAAAAACUUC
rnacentral:rRNA from 1 species